UGGUGCCAGCAGCCGCGGUAAUUCCAGCUCCAAUAGCGUAUAUUAAAAUUGUUGCAGUUAAAAAGCUCGUAGUUGAAUUUCUGCUGCAUUGCUUGUGUCCCUCUGGGGUCUGUGCAUGUGGCUUUUUUCGGACGGAGUUUCUUUGUCUGAAUGUUUACUUUGAGAAAAUUAGAGUGCUCAAAGCAGGCUUUCGCCUUGAAUAGUUUAGCAUGGAAUAAUAAAGUAGGACUUUGGUUCUAUUUUGUUGGUUUUAGGUACCAAAGUAAUGGUUAAUAGGAACAGUUGGGGGCAUUCGUAUUUAACUGUCAGAGGUGAAAUUCUUAGAUUUGUUAAAGACGAACUACUGCGAAAGCAUUUGCCAAGGAUGUUUUCAUUAAUCAAGAACGAAAGUUAGGGGAUCGAAGACGAUCAGAUACCGUCGUAGUC
rnacentral:rRNA from 1 species